GUUCUCUGCAACUACAGAGAGGGAGAAGCAUGUCUCUCUCUCUCCAAGACACCAUUCUUCAAUUUCUCAAAUGGAUGGACAAACAUCUCUGGUGUGGCAAGAAACUAGUUUCUCACCUCUACGGGGAGCAACAGCUUGAUGCAAACUAUAAGAAGAAAAAAGCCAGACGAUAAAGAUGCUCUCUCCAUUUCAAUGUUCAUCCAUAAGAAGACUUCAUCUACUGCAAUCAGACAUUGUAGAAUCAGAAGAUCCACAUAACUGGCAUCCAAGAGUUAUAAAAGUGCUUUCUGAGGAGUUCGCUGCACCAUUAAUAUUGAUUUCUAGUAAGUCUUGGAAUACCGGGGAAGUUCCAGAAGACUGGAAGAAAUGGGCCAGGAUUAAAAAAGAGUAACCAGUUUGACAUUGGUGUAACAUUCAAGAUAAUGAAAUGGCUAAGAGUAAUAAAAUUAAUUCCAAUCACCAUGGGGUUAUGAAAAACAGAUCUUGUCAAAGUAAACUGAUUUUUAUAUGAGAUUACAAGUUUCGUCUAUGAAAGUAGGCGUGUUGAUAUAAUGUACAUCGACUUCUGUUCAGUAUUUGACUUGGUACUACACAUUUUGAUUGAAAAACUCUAGUAAAUUAAAGGUAAAUGUUAAAUAAAUAAAAACCGUCCAAGUUUCAAA